rnacentral:snRNA from 1 species
AGCCACGCUGUGAGCACAAAGCGAACUAUUCUUUCGCCUUUUACUAAAGAAUACCGUGUGCUGCCGCAAAUAGUGGCAUACGCCUAUUUUUGGAGGGGUUCUCAAAUUGAGUUCC